CCAACCUUAAUGAUUAAGGAUAAAAGGUGAAGUGCAGGAAAGGGACCCUGAAUGAUACUUUUUCUGUUUUGAAUGGAGUCAUAGUGCUGUGUGGGAGAGGCGAUUCUCAUGCCAAGUGCGGCAGGAGAGAAAACAGGAGGUCAAAAUUAGGAAAUUGAACAGUGCUUGUCGGAGUGACAAAGGCAUCAGAGCCAGACAGUACAAUGGAAGGGCUGAAGGCAGAGUGGAGGGGUCCAUAAAUGUGAUCUCUCUGUUGUUUUGAUUUUAUCACGAGAUUAUGGAUAGACCAAUUUCAGUGAUUCACAUCAGUAAUUAAUAUUAUUUAAUUAUCUUCAUAAUGAGAAAGAUGCAGGAAGUGGGAACACACUGGUAAAGAAGACAUUCUGGUAAUGAAAAGCUUGGUGGAGGGGAACAGCACCGAAAUGUGGGAUGGGAGUGCUUGCAGUGUGCUGAGACAUGGGCAGUGCCUCCCACAAAGACUAUGGGGUCUAAGCCCAACAAUGAGCAUUGCUUUUUAUAAGUUAGUUCUGCAGUGGAGGCAUUCAGCCCAGCUCCUGAUCAGGAGAACUGAGCCAGGCCUGGGUGCAGUGCAACACAGGUUCUGGUGUCCUGCAGUGUUUCUGUGCCUAGAGUGCAGCCUAGGCAAUGCCGAGCAUUGAUCCAGGCCUGUGUAAAUGGCAGCAUAAAUACAGGAACCAAAUCUUUGCUAAGAUUUUCACCAAUCCACUCCCACAAAAAAAAAAAAGAAAAAAAAAAGAAAAAAAAAUUCUAUCAACUCUGACAUUUACAAUAGACAUUAUCUGCUCUGUGACAUUUGGUUUUAUAAACAGAUGUUGACCAGAUUUCCAUUUGUAGCUCACCUCGCUGCCACAGAUGAGAGGAUGCCUACAGCUGACCCUUGUCUCUAAAUAGCAGAGUGCCCACCCCCCCCUCCCAGCCACAGGGUGCUGACAAAGAGCUGAGCCGCCAGGAAAAUACAUCAACAUCACCAGCAGCGUGUGGCAGAGCAGGGAACCAGAGGAAGGUCUCGUGCAGCCCAGUGUUAUUAGUGAUUCUUUGAUCCUGAAGCCAGGUGACAGCAGUGACACAACACUGCAGCCACUGAUAUCCAGGCACUGCUUGAAAUGGAAUCAGGGCAAAGGUUUCCUAAUUCCUUUGUAUUCAAGUCAGCUAAAGCAGCAUUAGCAGCGUUUGUGUCUGUAUCAGUCCGGGGGUGGAUGAACAUAAAUGACUGCUGGGCUCCACAUCAGUGUGUAAGAGCAGAGAUACAUGGAAAACUCAGAGGCUAAGGCAGGGGCAGAGGGUUUGCCCAAUGUUCCCCAACUCCUUCAUCCCUCAUGAGGCUCUAAAUGGCAGCACCUGCUUCAAUGAAACUGCAUUUCUCAAGGAGGAGCAUCAGGAAGAUGUGUCAUGAGCAGCACCUGUUUUGCCCAGCUUCAUUCUGAUAAAGAGAGCUCUUCUCACAUAGCAGGUUGUGUGGAGGGGUGGUGUAUCUAGCUCUGAAUUGGAAGUUCUCCAUUAGAGCUUAGUUUGUUGCUUUCUCCUAUCAGCAUUCUGGCUGCUACUGGAGCAUGCUGUGAGCAGAAGCUGUAUUAAGCUAGGGUUAAAAGAGAGAGGUUUUCCUGAAGAAGCAUGAAGCAAACCAUGUUUGAUUACUGAACCAAAAGGCAAAGAGAAGGAGCAGCUCACAUCCAAGUGGCAGGAGGAAUGAAGUCAGCUCUGCUUUAGAAGGCUUACUGAAUCUGACAGCUGUGUUUUUGCUGUGGAUUUGUAUGUGGCACCUCCACGAGAACACUGUAAAGGCCUGUGAAGAGCCUGAACAUUGGUUACUGCAGACAUCUUGCUCAAAGGGCCAUGGAUUUCACAGCUAUGAAGUUGAAUGAUUUCCAGCUACUGCAAUCAACCAUCUUUAAUACAACGGCAGUAUUAAUGAUUCAAGGUGUGGAAGAGCAUGCUGGCUAUUGCUUAUGUUGUGUUGUAGCAAAAUGCACGUUACCAAAUUUAAAGCAAACUUGUUGCUGCUGUGUGAACCAAAGCUGCAAAGAACAGAAGAUACAGUACAAGCAUGCAGUAUUGCUUGGGAGAAGAUAACAGAAAGCAAUGGGUUGGGAGAGUUGUUGGCCUGUACUGUUCUUAAUGCAUAUAUCCAGUUUCUUGUCCACGUAUUAACAGUUAUAACAUAAAGGCAUUUGUGUUUGAACUAGGUAAAUCUUAACAGCUGAACAGAGGCUUACUGGAUACACUUUCAGGUUGCUCAAUUUUCUACAUAAAUUCCCAAAUUUUUGUAAUAAGAAUUUUAUUUCUUUUGUUGAAGUGAGCAUGAAUCCUGUGAAGAUAAAAGGCAGAUUCUGCACUUAAAGACUUACAUAAAUCACUGGGAUUCUGAAAAUUCAGAAUACAGCUUUUCAUGUAAUCUAUUUAGGCUUUAGUAAAACCUUUGACUCUGUCCCUGCAGUACUCUCCUAGAGAAGCUGGCAGCCCAUUCCUUGGAUGUGUGCACUCUUUAUUGGCUAAAAAAUUGUCUGGAUGGCUGGAUCCAGAGGGUGAUGAUAAAUCAAAUCCAGCUGGCAAAUGGUCAUGAGUGAUGUUCCUCAGGGGUCAGUAUUGGGACUGGUCUUGUUUAAUGUCUUUACUGAUGAUCUGGGUGAGGGGACUGAGUGCACCCUCAGUUCCCAGAUGACACCAAGUUGGGAGGAAGUGAGGAGCUGCCAGAGGGUAGGAAGGCUCUAUAGAGGUAUCUGGAUAAGCUGGAUUGAUGGGCUGAGGCCAAUUGUAUGAGCUUCAGUAAGACCAAGUGCUGAUUCCCACCCUUAGGUAGCAACAAGAGUUGCUCAGAGGAAAACCGUCUGGUGGUGUUAGCUGACAGCUGGCUGAAUGUGAUCCAGCAGUGUGCCCAGGUGCCCAUCCUGACUUGUAUCAGAAAUAAUGCAGCCAGUGGGAGCA